rnacentral:rRNA from 1 species
AGUCUAGCCUGCCCACUGAAUUUUUUUUUAAAUGGCCGCAGUAUCCUAACUGUGCAAAGGUAGCAUAAUCAUUAGUCUUUUAAUUGAAGGCUGGAAUGAAUGGUUGGAUGAAAUAUUAACUGUUUCAUAAAAAUUUAUAAUAGAAUUUUAUUUUUUAGUUAAAAAGCUAAAAUAUCUUUAAAAGACGAGAAGACCCUAUAAAUCUUUAUAUUUAGAAAAUUACAAUUAUUUAGAUAAUUUAAAUUUUAUUUUUUUAAAAUAUUUUAUUGGGGUGAUAUUAAAAUUUAAUAAACUUUUAAUUUAAUUUAAACAUAAAUUAAUGAAUUAUUGAUCCAUAAAUUAUGAUUAAAAAAUUAAGUUACUUUAGGGAUAACAGCGUAAUUUUUUUAGAGAGUUCAUAUUGAUAAAAAAGAUUGCGACCUCGAUGUUGGAUUAAGAUAUAGUUUUAGGUGCAGUAGCUUAAACUUAAAGUCUGU